rnacentral:rRNA from 2 species
GCGACGCCGGCGGUUCGCCGCCGGUGUUGUUGUGAGAAGUUCAUUAAACCUUAUCAUUUAGAGGAAGGAGAAGUCGUAACAAGGUUUCCGUAGGUGAACCUGCGGAAGGAUCAUUG